CAGUCGCCACGGGAAUACGAAGGGUGCAAGCGUUACUCGGAAUUACUGGGCGUAAAGCGUGCGUAGGUGGUGGUUUAAGUCCGUUGUGAAAGCCCUGGGCUCAACCUGGGAAUUGCAGUGGAUACUGGGUCACUAGAGUGUGGUAGAGGAUAGUGGAAUUUCCGGUGUAGCAGUGAAAUGCGUAGAGAUCGGAAGGAACAUCUGUGGCGAAGGCGACUAUCUGGGCCAACACUGACACUGAGGCACGAAAGCGUGGGGAGCAAACAGGAUUAGAGACCCCCGUAGUCCCUGUCUCUUAUAA
rnacentral:rRNA from 1 species